GUCGUAACAAGGUUUCCGUAGGUGAACCUGCGGAAGGAUCAUUACCACACCAAAAAAUCUUUCCAUGUGAACUGUUUAUUGUUUUGUUUUGUGGCAGUUUAUAUAGUAUUUUUUUAUAAUGAAAAUAUAUUAUUGAAUUGUAUCAAAUUUGAAUUUAAAUAUUAUGGUUGAGUUUAUUUGUAAAAAAAUAAAUUCCUAUAGUAAUUAAUGUGAAUUUGUGUGAUUCCUGCCUAAACGAAGGUCAAAUUCUAAAAUAUAUGAUGAAUUUCAUAGACUUUGGUUGAUUUGGCUGAUGUUAUUUUAAAUCCUUACUUAUUUUACUGUAUACUGUAAAAUCGAAAGAUUUUACUUGAAUUAGAUAACAACUUUCAGCGGUGGAUGUCUAGGCUC
rnacentral:misc_RNA from 1 species